UAACAGCAAGUAUUGAAAGGACCAAGU
rnacentral:piRNA from 1 species